rnacentral:lncRNA from 1 species
UUGCUUCUUCGGCAUACACCUUUUCUUUCAUGGCCAGCCUUAGCUGCUCCGUUGCUUCAUCUUUAAGCCUCAAAGUGUCUGAACUACGCUUCUCAUUCGCGUUCUCUGAUGACUCGUUGAAAUCUGAGGAGCCAAUGGAGAGUUGGAGGUUGUAAGUCGAGUGAUCUUCGUUCGGUUUAGAUGAUACGGAGACAUCAAAGGCCGGGCUAGUUGAUGAUGUAGUAGCAGUCAAGAGUUGUAGCUCCAAAUUGUGUUGCUUUGUACAACUUUUCAUGAUGUUGGGAUUAGCCUGAUGAGUAGCAGCCGCGGACGACAAUUUUUUUAGUAACGUACUGGACCAUGGCGUUGUGCUGAGAUUCGUGUCGCUUGAUGGGCUAGGAGUACUCGAAGCUGUGCGAGAAAGGCAAGGAGGAUGUAAAGAUUGUGAUUCAGAUCGGAGCCUGCCCAUGCUACAAGCAUCUUGAUGCUCGAUGAAACUUUCCACCCUAUAAUAAGAAAAAAUGGUCAUUUACAACAAUCUCCUUCUUUUUCAAGUGAAAACUGAAAAAAAAAAAAAAAAAAAAAAACUAAAGAGAUAAAAGAAAUACAAUUCGAAUAACUAACGCUGAGAAAGUUUGAGAUGUUCGGUUUGGUUGAUAUUCUUGGCAACUUCAUGAUGACCUUCUGUUAAACCCGAAGAGAUAUAACUCAAUGCCAAUGAGUUAUUCUCAUCUAUAAUAUUGACUCUUGGAGUUGACGAUUGGAAUUUCUGUUUGCAAGAAUGACAAGUGAUUUGCGAAAGAGUGGAGCUGAUUUGCUUGAUGGCAUGUUCUUUCAAUGCAUUAGCCUUGUCCAACUCCGCUUGUGCCUGUUGCCUAAUCCUCUUGGCAUUGGCGAACUCCUGCUCAGCCAACUCGAUCUGCCUCUUCGCUUGCUGCCUUGCUUCUUCGGCAUACACCUUUUCUUUCAUGGCCAGCCUUAGCUGCUCCGUUGCUUCAUCUUUAAGCCUCAAAGUGUCUGAACUACGCUUCUCAUUCGCGUUCUCUGAUGACUCGUUGAAAUCUGAGGAGCCAAUGGAGAGUUGGAGGUUGUAAGUCGAGUGAUCUUCGUUCGGUUUAGAUGAUACGGAGACAUCAAAGGCCGGGCUAGUUGAUGAUGUAGUAGCAGUCAAGAGUUGUAGCUCCAAAUUGUGUUGCUUUGUACAACUUUUCAUGAUGUUGGGAUUAGCCUGAUGAG